rnacentral:rRNA from 1 species
AUGGACGUCGGUCAGGCUGAGGCGGCGGCGCUGCUGUUCACGGAGGCGAUCCACGACGGCCCGCCGACCGCGGCGCUCUACGCCGAGCGAGCGCAGGCGCUCAUCAGGGCGGGCAACUUCGCCGCCGCGGCCGCCGACGCCACCAGGGCCGCUGACCUCGACCCCACCAUGCACAGGGCCUACCUCCGGAAAGCCCGCGCGUGCAUCAACCUCGAGCGCUACGGCUCCGCCAGGGCCGCCGUCCUGGCCGGCGCCGCCGUCGCACCCGGGGACCUGCGGUUCGCCGAGCUGAUGGAGGAGCUCGACGCCAAGGUGGUUCCCGGGCAGAGGACGGAGCUGGCGGCAGGGGCGGCAGCCGGCGCCUGCGACAGCGACCGCGAGCAGCUAGCAAAAGUGGCCGGUGAUGUGCACGGAUGGCCAAGGCCGGCGGCGCACCGGAGGGCAUCGAGCUGCGUCUAG